rnacentral:rRNA from 1 species
CCCACGGGGGGCUGCAGUGGGGAAUAUUGGACAAUGGGGGGAACCCUGAUCCAGCCAUGCCGCGUGUGUGAAGAAGGCCCUCGGGUUGUAAAGCACUUUCAGUGAGGAAGAACGCCUGGUGGUUAAUACCCAUCAGGAAAGACAUCACUCACAGAAGAAGCACCGGCUAACUCCGUGCCAGCAGCCGCGGUAAUACGGAGGGUGCGAGCGUUAAUCGGAAUUACUGGGCGUAAAGCGCGCGUAGGUGGCUUGAUAAGCCGGUUGUGAAAGCCCCGGGCUCAACCUGGGAACGGCAUCCGGAACUGUCAAGCUAGAGUGCAGGAGAGGAAGGUAGAAUUCCCGGUGUAGCGGUGAAAUGCGUAGAGAUCGGGAGGAAUACCAGUGGCGAAGGCGGCCUUCUGGACUGACACUGACACUGAGGUGCGAAAGCGUGGGUAGCAAACAGGAUUAGAUACCCGUGUAGUC